rnacentral:rRNA from 1 species
GAUGAACGCUAGCGGCAGGCUUAAUACAUGCAAGUCGAGGGGCAGCAUAAGUAGCAAUACUUGAUGGCGACCGGCAAACGGGUGCGGAACACGUACGCAACCUUCCUUUAAGUGGGGAAUAGCCCGGGGAAACCCGGAUUAAUACCCCGUAAUAUUAUGAUGUGGCAUCACAUUAUAAUUAUAGAUUCAUCGCUUAAAGGUGGGCGUGCGCCUGAUUAGGUAGUUGGCGGAGAAUAGCCCACCAAGCCUGCGAUCAGUAACUGGUGUGAGAGCACGACCAGUCACACGGGCACUGAGACACGGGCCCGACUCC